CCUACGGGAGGCAGCAGUAAGGAAUAUUGGUCAAUGGACGCAAGUCUGAACCAGCCAUGCCGCGUGAAGGAUUAAGGCCCUCUGGGUUGUAAACUUCUUUUAUAGGGGACGAAAAAAGGGCAUUCUUGUUCACUUGACGGUACCCUAGGAAUAAGCACCGGCUAACUCCGUGCCAGCAGCCGCGGUAAUACGGAGGGUGCAAGCGUUAUCCGGAUUUACUGGGUUUAAAGGGUGCGUAGGUGGGUUGGUAAGUCAGUGGUGAAAUCUUCGAGCUUAACUCGGAAACUGCCAUUGAUACUAUCAAUCUUGAAUCAUCUAGAGGUAAGCGGAAUAUGUCAUGUAGCGGUGAAAUGCUUAGAUAUGACAUAGAACACCAAUUGCGAAGGCAGCUUACUAUGGAUAUAUUGACACUGAGGCACGAAAGCGUGGGGAUCAAACAGGAUUAGAUACCCUGGUAGUCCACGCCCUAAACGAUGGAUACUCGACAUUUGUGAUAUACUAUAAGUGUCUGAGCGAAAGCAUUAAGUAUCCCACCUGGGAAGUACGACCGCAAGGUUGAAACUCAAAUGAAUUGACGG
rnacentral:rRNA from 1 species